rnacentral:rRNA from 1 species
CCUACGGGUGGCAGCAGUGGGGAAUAUUGGACAAUGGGGGAAACCCUGAUGCAGCGAUGCCGCGUGAGUGAAGAAGGCUUUAGGUAUGUAAAGCUCUAUCAGCAGGGAAGAAAAUGUCGGUACCUGAUUAAGAAGCCACGGCUCACUACGUGCCAGCAGCCGCGGUACUACGCCGGGGGCAAGCGUUAUACGGAUUUACUGGGUGUAAAGGGAGCGUAGGCGGCUGGACAGGUCGGGAGUGAAAUGCCGGGGCUUAACCCCGGAACUGCUUUUGAGACUGUGGAGCUAGAGUGCAGGAGAGGUAGGUGGAAUGCCUGGUGUAGCGGUGAAAUGCGUAGAGAUUAGGAAGAACACCAGUUGCGAAGGCGGCUUACUGGACUGUAACUGACGUUGAGGCUCGAAAGCGUGGGGAGCAAACAGGAUUAGAUACCCGAGUAGUC